CUUUUCUUGUUAGUUUUUGAAGUAUGGCCUGCCCACUGACGUUUAUUUAGGUUGAAGGGCCGCGGUAUUUUGACCGUGCAAAGGUAGCAUAAUCAUUAGUUCUUUAAUUGUGAUCUGGUAUGAAUGGCUUGACGAGAUAUGAGCUGUCUUAAGAGUAUUAUUUUAUUGAAUUUAGUUUUUGAGUUAAAAUUCUUAGAUGUUUUUAUGGGACGAGAAGACCCUAUAGAGUUUGACACCUAAAUCUUCUUUUUUGUUUUGUUUGAUUUAUUUUUAUGAGUUGAUUAGGUGUUUUGUUGGGGUGAUGAGAGGAAAUAAAUUAACUCCUCUUUGGCUUUUUAUAUUUA
rnacentral:rRNA from 1 species